ensembl:lncRNA
CACAGUCUCCAAGGUGGAGCCAAGCACAGCCAGGUGCAGUGGUUGAGAAGCUCCUGUUGCCAGUCAGCUGCCUGAGGGGGCUGAACCAUCGGGCCAGUGAAGCACUCUUAUAGCUGCUGUUCAUCUUAGUGGAUGAUGCUGGGGACACAGUGCACAGUACAGUAUGGUGGAGAUGAAACAAUUAGUAUUUAACUUUGGGCAGCAAAGAGUACAGAUGAGGCACAAAGUUCUGCUACCAAAUAAAAGGGAAGACAAGGAGUACUGAAAUUCAGCGACUGGCCUGAGUCUGCUUGGUGCCUUGAUGUAAUGACUUCAGUGGAAAAAAAAAAAGUCUCAGCACUGAGUAAGGUCUAUGGGAGGCCAAAAAAGAACUUCAUAAGACCCGCAUUCUUCACAGCUGGAAGACUGUAAUCUGGAGAGUUACUGUUCAAAACCAGAUAUUCUGCAUGGCACAGAGUAGGUCACUUUGAAGCUCCCUCCACUCAUGUUACAUCAGCAGCUUGAGAAAAGUGCUCAGAGAAAUAUUGUUUCUUGGAAGCUCACUUUCAUAAUUAUGUUUGAUCCCUUUGUCUGAGGCAACUGAAUGUACUGAGGAGAAAAAUCUGUGGAAAUCACUGAUGCUGCCAAUUACAAAAGUGAUUAUUGAAUGAAGGUAAAGUUCUUUUGCAAUGGGAAAAAAUAGAGAAAAACUGUGAUGAGCCAGCACACUGCACAAAAAAAAGCAGUGUCCUAUGUUGUACUAAUACCAGUACAAGUUUUCCUCACCAAAUUUUCUAGUGUAUUGCUUUUUUCCAUCCUUGAAAUAAUCUUUGACAUAUAAGAGAGACUAUAGGUUUUGUGAUUCCAUCUGAAGGAUACCAUAAUAAGA